CCCGCACAAGCGGUGGAGCAUGUGGUUUAAUUUGAUGCAACGCGAAGAACCUUACCUACCCUUGACAUCCAGAGAAUCUGUUAGAGAUAGUAGAGUGCCUUCGGGAACUCUGAGACAGGUGCUGCAUGGCUGUCGUCAGCUCGUGUUGUGAAAUGUUGGGUUAAGUCCCGUAACGAGCGCAACCCUUAUCCUUAGUUGCCAGCACAUAAUGGUGGGAACUCUAGGGAGACUGCCGGUGAUAAACCGGAGGAAGGUGGGGACGACGUCAAGUCAUCAUGGCCCUUAUGGGUAGGGCUACACACGUGCUACAAUGGCCAGUACAGAGGGCUGCGAACUUGCGAAAGUAAGCGAAUCCCAGAAAGCUGGUCUUAGUCCGGAUUGGAGUCUGCAACUCGACUCCAUGAAGUUGGAAUCGCUAGUAAUCGCGAAUCAGAACGUCGCGGUGAAUACGUUCCCGGGCCUUGUACACACCGCCCGUCACACCAUGGGAGUGGGUUGCAAAAGAAGUGGGUAGACUAACCUUCGGGAGGUCGCUCACCACUUUGUGAUUCAUGACUGGGGUGAAGUCGUAACAAGGUA
rnacentral:rRNA from 1 species